AUGCCCGACCUAAAGAUCCGUGCCCACCGAUCGACCUUAAAAGCACGGCCUCCGUUAGGGUUUGGAGAGAUGCAGCAGUGCCACGGAAAGGACAAGGCGGCUACCAGCGCGAUGCCGAACCACUCAAAGGGCACGGCAGCUGCGAGCGCGAUGCCGUACCACGUCAAGGACAAGGCGGCUACGAUCGCCAUGCAGCCGAAGCAGGUCUUUGCAGACGAGAACAUCGUGCAGGAGCCCUUAGCACAUCCUGAUCGAAUCCGACAAAGGGGGUUGAACAGGUUGCCGUCGCUUCGUGGAAAGGAGAUGGCAGACACACGCUCAAGCUCUCUGUUGUCACGGAAGCACCUUGGAAAGGAGAGAUCGCCGUCGCUGUCGCACAAGCUAAAGGAGAAGGUGGAUACAGGCUUGAUUCCACACAUGCAUAAUGCAAAGGUGAAGAUGUGCCCCUCUGAUCAGUUCCGCCAUCAUAUACAGGGUAUCCAGCGGCCUGUCAAGACUGAAUCACGUCUUGCCAGAGAGAUGUCUCAGAAGCGAAGGGAGAAGGUGGAUACAGGUCCGGUUCCACGGAAGCAUGGUGCAAUGGAGAAGACGUGCGUUUCUGAUCAGGAUAUGUGGCCUUUCAAGACUGAAGCAUGUCUUGCCGGAGAGAUGUCUCAGAAACGAAUGGAGAAGGUGGAUACAGGCUCGAAUCCACAGAAGCAUCAUGCAAUGGAGAAGACGUGCACUUCUGAUCAGGAUAUGUGGCCUUUCAAGACUGAAGCAUGUCUUGCCGGAGAGAUGUCUCAGAAGCGAAUGGAGAAGGUGGAUACAGGCUCGAAUCCGCAGAAGCAUAAUGCAAAGGAGAAGAAUCAGGAUAUGUGGCCUUUCAAGACUGAAGCAUGUCUUGCCAGAGAGAUGUCUCAGAGGCGAAUGGAGAAGGUGGAUACAGGCUCGAAUCAACAGAAGCAUAGUGCAGAGAAGAAGACGUGCCCCCCUGAUCAGCUCUGCCCACAUACACAUGGUAUCCAGCGAAAAGAGCGUCUUUCUGUAGAGAAGAAGCACACAAAAAGCAAUACAUCUUUUCCAGCGAAAAGAACAUCUCCACAACUCAGAACAAGAACAAGUUACCGCUGUUCCGAUGCGGGUACCGGUCGUCCCAUCGAUGCUCAUGACCAUGGCAACACUGGUGCUAUCCAGGAACAGAAACAAGUAUAUGCCGCAACACAGGUAGAUGAAGAUGUGGGCGACAUAAUCCAGAAGCUGAACGAACUGGGCUUGGGAGAGGACAUCGAGUUUGAGGAAUACUAUGGAUACUUGCAGCAGCUGCCUCCCGACCCCCGUGUUGAUACCUACACUGAAUUGAACCUUGAGGAUUACUUUAACAUGGACCUCCGCCAUGCGGUGUAUCGCAUCAGAUCCUACAAGUUGUUAAAAAAGGAGUCCAAUAAUGAGUUGUGCUGUGAUGAACUGAAAGAGUGCCCUAUGGAGCUUCUUGACAGAGAAGAAUUUCCUACAGAUUUCCUUGUGAAGAUGCGAUAUUUUAGCUUCUUCGACAAUGACGGCAUAUUAGACUGGUUCUUCGACCCUGAUCUCUGCAAGCUUGCUUGCGUGAAUGACUACCAGCGUCUAGUCCCUCGGAAGCAUAGUGCUUAUGAGUACGCUGGUUGGGUUGUGUACCGCGGUUACCUCCAUAGCUACGAGAUGCAACAUGAAUACAUCGAGUACUUCGAAACAUUAUUAAGGGAACUUAAGUGGUUGAAAGAUUGUCUACCGAGCAAGUUUUCACCUCUUACUGUAGGCAAGAUACGCACCAGAGGAAUUUAUCAAGCAACUAAGAUCGCCACUCGCUUUUCCAAGAUCACAACUCAUUUAGCUCGUAUUGGCUUCCGUGAUUGUUUUAACUACAUGAGCAUUGAGGCUACUUGGUGUAACGGGUCCGAUGGUCUCUAUUUCGAGAUUUGGAAGCGGGUCACUCAACAGAAGGAGAGUUUCAGAGAUAGCUUGAAGGAAGUCUAUAAGCUGAACAAGUGUCCAUCACUACAAGAUAGCAUAAAAUAUGCCAUGGAGCAUGACUGUUCCAUGAUGGAAACGGCGUUUCUUCGUUGCACGGUAGGGGCAGGCAUUACAAAGGAAGUACCAGAGGAUAAAGCUCAGGAGUUGAUUGCAGAGGCAGUUGAAAAGCUGAGGAUAAAACCCAAAUUCUAUGAUGGGUAUAUCAGAAAGAAGAUCGACAUUGCCAAAGCUAUAGGAAUGAUUACUGAGGAUAGUUCCACAGAUACUUUGAAGGACGAUUAUAAGCUGAACAAGUGUCCGUCAUUCCAACAUAGCAUAAAAUAUGCCUUAGAGGAGGACUGUUCUGUGAGGGAAUGGAUGGUAUCAGAGGAUAAAGCUCAGGAGUUGAUUGCAGAGGCAGUUAAAAAGCCGAGGAUAAAACCCGAAUUCUGUGAUGAUAUCAGUGAGAAGAUAGAAAUUGCCAAACCUGUCGGAACGAUCACUGUGGAAUGA
rnacentral:rRNA from 1 species